GUAACUAAUACAAUAAUUACUUUCGAUUUCAAUCAAGUACAUUCUGCGACUUUUGCAAGACGUGUAAUGUAUUCAAAUCAUCAGAAUGUUUUAAAUUAAUGGAAAUAAUAAACACGACAUUUCGGUAUCAGAUCUUCUGUACCAAUUUUACUUUGCAAGAAUACAUCCCGGAUGAUUAGAGCAAGAAUCGGUUUUAUUUUAAUAAAACGAGCUCUCGUUAAAUGAAUGUCAUGGUUGGUGGGCGUACGGUGCCAAAAUCUCGAGUAAGGACGGCGGAGAAGGUCACAUUCCAUUGUUUUUUAAUAUUCUUUUUUUGUGACGAUUCAACGCACCCUGAUACAGCAUUAGUUAAGGGGUCAAUUGCUGGUUCGACCUCCGGAUAAUUUCUUAGUCCCGCGUGUUGUUGGGAUUUUCCUUAUAAUUUGACUAUUCUAUUUACAUUUAGUUUUAUAUUAAGAAAUAAACUGCUCAAAUUUACUAUUUAUAAUUUA